CCUACGUGAGGCAGCAGUGAGGAAUAUUGGUCAAUGGCCGGAAGGCUGAACCAGCCAAGCCGCGUGAAGGACGAAGGUGCCAAGCAUUGUAAACUUCUUUUGUCAGGGGACAAAAUCAGGCUCGAGAGCCUGAACGAGGGUACUUGAAGAAAAAGCAUCGGCUAACUCCGUGCCAGCAGCCGCGGUAAUCCGGAGGAUGCGGGCGUUAUCCGGAUUUAUUGGGGUAAAAGGGUGCAUAGGCGGACUGUUAAGUCAGCGGUAAAAGCCCGGGGUUAAACCCCGGCGAGCCGUUGAAACUGGCUGUCUUGAGAUGUGGAGAGGUAUGCGGAAUGCGCAGUGUAGCGGUGAAAUGCUUAGAUAUUGCGCAGAACUCCGAUUGCGAAGGCAGCAUACUGGCGGCGAUCUGACGCUGAGGCACGAAAGCGUGGGUAUCGAACAGGAUUAGAUACCCUAGUAGUC
rnacentral:rRNA from 1 species